rnacentral:rRNA from 1 species
AUUGAACGCUGGCGGCAGGCCUAACACAUGCAAGUCGAACGGUAACAGGAAGCAGCUUGCUGCUUUGCUGACGAGUGGCGGACGGGUGAGUAAUGUCUGGGAAACUGCCUGAUGGAGGGGGAUAACUACUGGAAACGGUAGCUAAUACCGCAUAACGUCGCAAGACCAAAGAGGGGGACCUUCGGGCCUCUUGCCAUCGGAUGUGCCCAGAUGGGAUUAGCUAGUAGGUGGGGUAACGGCUCACCUAGGCGACGAUCCCUAGCUGGUCUGAGAGGAUGACCAGCCACACUGGAACUGAGACACGGUCCAGACUCCUACGGGAGGCAGCAGUGGGGAAUAUUGCACAGUGGGCGCAAGCCUGAUGCAGCCAUGCCGCGUGUAUGAAGAAGGCCUUCGGGUUGUAAAGUACUUUCAGCGGGGAGGAAGGGAGUAAAGUUAAUACCUUUGCUCAUUGACGUUACCCGCAGAAGAAGCACCGGCUAACUCCGUG